rnacentral:rRNA from 1 species
UGCAAGUCGAGCGGAAGAAGGGAGCUUGCUCCCGGAUGUUAGCGGCGGACGGGUGAGUAACACGUGGGUAACCUGCCUGUAGGACUGGGAUAACUCCGGGAAACCGGAGCUAAUACCGGAUAGUUCCUUGAACCGCAGGGUUCAAGGAUGAAAGACGGUUUCGGCUGUCACUUACAGAUGGACCCGCGGCGCAUUAGCUAGUUGGUGAGGUAACGGCUCACCAAGGCGACGAUGCGUAGCCCACCUGAGAGGGUGAUCGGCCACACUGGGACUGAGACACGGCCCAAACUCCUACGGGAGGCAGCAGUAGGGAAUCUUCCGCAAUGGACGAAAGUCUGACGGAGCAACGCCGCGUGAGUGAUGAAGGUUUUCGGAUCGUAAAGCUCUGUUGUUAGGGAAGAACAAGUGCAAGAGUAACUGCUUGCACCUUGACGGUACCUAACCAGAAAGCCACGGCUAACUACGUGCCAACAGCCGCGGUAAUACGUAUGUGGCAAGCUUUGUCCGGAAUUAUUGGGCGUAGAGGGCUCGCGGGCGGUUUCUUAAGUCUGAUGUGAAAGCCCCCGGCUCAACCGGGGAAGGGUCAUUGGAAACUGGGAAACUUGAGUGC